rnacentral:rRNA from 1 species
GAUUAAGUUAUUAAGGGCGCACGGUGGAUGCCUUGGCACUAGAAGCCGAUGAAGGACGUUACUAACGACGAUAUGCUUUGGGGAGCUGUAAGUAAGCUUUGAUCCAGAGAUUUCCGAAUGGGGAAACCCAGCAUGAGUUAUGUCAUGUUAUCGAUAUGUGAAUACAUAGCAUAUCAGAAGGCACACCCGGAGAACUGAAACAUCUUAGUACCCGGAGGAAGAGAAAGAAAAUUCGAUUCCCUUAGUAGCGGCGAGCGAAACGGAAGAGCCCAAACCAACAAGCUUGCUUGUUGGGGUUGUAGGACACUCUGUACGGAGUUACAAAGGACGACAUUAGACGAAUCAUCUGGAAAGAUGAAUCAAAGAAGGUAAUAAUCCUGUAGUCGAAAAUGUUGUCUCUCUUGAGUGGAUCCUGAGUACGACGGAGCACGUGAAAUUCCGUCGGAAUCUGGGAGGACCAUCUCCUAAGGCUAAAUACUCUCUAGUGACCGAUAGUGAACCAGUACCGUGAGGGAAAGGUGAAAAGCACCCCGGAAGGGGAGUGAAAUAGAACCUGAAACCGUGUGCUUACAAGUAGUCAGAGCCCGUUAAUGGGUGAUGGCGUGCCUUUGUAGAAUGAACCGGCGAGUUACGAUUUGAUGCAAGGUUAAGCAGUAAAUGUGGAGCCGUAGCGAAAGCGAGUCUGAAUAGGGCGUUUAGUAUUUGGUCGUAGACCCGAAACCAGGUGAUCUACCCUUGGUCAGGUUGAAGUUCAGGUAACACUGAAUGGAGGACCGAACCGACUUACGUUGAAAAGUGAGCGGAUGAACUGAGGGUAGCGGAGAAAUUCCAAUCGAACCUGGAGAUAGCUGGUUCUCUCCGAAAUAGCUUUAGGGCUAGCCUCAAGUGAUGAUUAUUGGAGGUAGAGCACUGUUUGGACGAGGGGCCCCUCGGGUUACCGAAUUCAGACAAACUCGAAUGCCAAUUAAUUUAACUUGGGAGUCAGAACAUGGGUGAUAAGGUCCGUGUUCGAAAGGGAAACAGCCCAGACCACCAGCUAAGGUCCCAAAAUAUAUGUUAAGUGGAAAAGGAUGUGGCGUUGCCCAGACAACUAGGAUGUUGGCUUAGAAGCAGCCAUCAUUUAAAGAGUGCGUAAUAGCUCACUAGUCGAGUGACACUGCGCCGAAAAUGUACCGGGGCUAAACAUAUUACCGAAGCUGUGGAUUGUCCUUUGGACAAUGGUAGGAGAGCGUUCUAAGGGCGUUGAAGCAUGAUCGUAAGGACAUGUGGAGCGCUUAGAAGUGAGAAUGCCGGUGUGAGUAGCGAAAGACGGGUGAGAAUCCCGUCCACCGAUUGACUAAGGUUUCCAGAGGAAGGCUCGUCCGCUCUGGGUUAGUCGGGUCCUAAGCUGAGGCCGACAGGCGUAGGCGAUGGAUAACAGGUUGAUAUUCCUGUACCACCUAUAAUCGUUUUAAUCGAUGGGGGACGCAGUAGGAUAGGCGAAGCGUGCGAUUGGAUUGCACGUCUAAGCAGUAAGGCUGAGUAUUAGGCAAAUCCGGUACUCGUUAAGGCUGAGCUGUGAUGGGGAGAAGACAUUGUGUCUUCGAGUCGUUGAUUUCACACUGCCGAGAAAAGCCUCUAGAUAGAAAAUAGGUGCCCGUACCGCAAACCGACACAGGUAGUCAAGAUGAGAAUUCUAAGGUGAGCGAGCGAACUCUCGUUAAGGAACUCGGCAAAAUGACCCCGUAACUUCGGGAGAAGGGGUGCUCUUUAGGGUUAACGCCCAGAAGAGCCGCAGUGAAUAGGCCCAAGCGACUGUUUAUCAAAAACACAGGUCUCUGCUAAACCGUAAGGUGAUGUAUAGGGGCUGACGCCUGCCCGGUGCUGGAAGGUUAAGAGGAGUGGUUAGCUUCUGCGAAGCUACGAAUCGAAGCCCCAGUAAACGGCGGCCGUAACUAUAACGGUCCUAAGGUAGCGAAAUUCCUUGUCGGGUAAGUUCCGACCCGCACGAAAGGCGUAACGAUUUGGGCACUGUCUCAACGAGAGACUCGGUGAAAUCAUAGUACCUGUGAAGAUGCAGGUUACCCGCGACAGGACGGAAAGACCCCGUGGAGCUUUACUGUAGCCUGAUAUUGAAAUUCGGCACAGCUUGUACAGGAUAGGUAGGAGCCUUUGAAACGUGAGCGCUAGCUUACGUGGAGGCGCUGGUGGGAUACUACCCUAGCUGUGUUGGCUUUCUAACCCGCACCACUUAUCGUGGUGGGAGACAGUGUCAGGCGGGCAGUUUGACUGGGGCGGUCGCCUCCUAAAAGGUAACGGAGGCGCUCAAAGGUUCCCUCAGAAUGGUUGGAAAUCAUUCAUAGAGUGUAAAGGCAUAAGGGAGCUUGACUGCGAGACCUACAAGUCGAGCAGGGUCGAAAGACGGACUUAGUGAUCCGGUGGUUCCGCAUGGAAGGGCCAUCGCUCAACGGAUAAAGCUACCCCGGGGAUAACAGGCUUAUCUCCCCAAGAGUUCACAUCGACGGGGAGGUUUGGCACCUCGAUGUCGGCUCAUCGCAUCCUGGGGCUGUAGUCGGUCCCAAGGGUUGGGCUGUUCGCCCAUUAAAGCGGUACGCGAGCUGGGUUCAGAACGUCGUGAGACAGUUCGGUCCCUAUCCGUCGUGGGCGUAGGAAAUUUGAGAGGAGCUGUCCUUAGUACGAGAGGACCGGGAUGGACAUACCUCUGGUGUACCAGUUGUCGUGCCAACGGCAUAGCUGGGUAGCUAUGUGUGGACGGGAUAAGUGCUGAAAGCAUCUAAGCAUGAAGCCCCCCUCAAGAUGAGAUUUCCCAACUUCGGUUAUAAGAUCCCUCAAAGAUGAUGAGGUUAAUAGGUUCGAGGUGGAAGCAUGGUGACAUGUGGAGCUGACGAAUACUAAUCGAUCGAAGACUUAAUCAA